CUAUAUACAACUUUCAGCAAUCGGAUCUCUUGGCUCUCGCAUCGAUGAAGAACGCAGCGAAAUGCGAUAAGUAAUGUGAAUUGCAGAAUUCAGUGAAUCAUNNAAUCUUUGAACGCACCUUGCGCUCCUUGGUAUUCCGAGGAGCAUGCCUGUUUGA
rnacentral:rRNA from 1 species